ACAAACUUGGUCAUUUAGAGGAAGUAAAAGUCGUAACAAGGUCUCCGUAGGUGAACCUGCGGAGGGAUCAUUACCGAGCUCGUGCCAUAGGCCGACCUCCUGCCCGCUGUUAUCAUUACGCUGUUGCUUUGGCGGGCCGUGCCCGCCAGAGGCUCCGCAGACCCUAAGCGUCGGUGCCGUCUGAGUACUAUAUAAUAGUUAAAACUUUCAACAACGGAUCUCUUGGUUCUGGCAUCGAUGAAGAACGCAGC
rnacentral:misc_RNA from 1 species